rnacentral:rRNA from 1 species
UACGUAGGGAGCAAGCGUUGUCCGGAAUCAUUGGGCGUAAAGCGCGCGUAGGCGGCCUCAUAAGUCCGUUGUGAAAGUCAAAGGCUCAACCUUUGAAAGCCGAUGGAUACUGUGAGGCUAGAGUCCGGAAGAGGCGAGUGGAAUUCCUGGUGUAGCGGUGGAAUGCGUAGAGAUCCGGAAGAACACCGGUGGCGAAGGCGGUCUGCUGGGCAGUAGCUGACACUGAGGCGCGACAGCGUGGGGAGCAAACAGG